UACGUAGGUGACAAGCGUUGUCCGGAUUUACUGGGCGUAAAGAGCGCGCAGGCGGUCGAUCAAGUCGAGUGUGAAAGCCCCCGGCUCAACUGGGGAGGGUCAUUCGAUACUGAUCGACUCGAAGGCAGGAGAGGGUAGUGGAAUUCCCGGUGUAGUGGUGAAAUGCGUAGAUAUCGAGAGGAACACCAGUGGCGCAAGCGGCUGACUGGCCGAGACCUGACGCUGAGACACGACGGCGUGGGGAGCAAACCGG
rnacentral:rRNA from 1 species